GCACCCCGGCUCCCUGCAGGCCCGAGCCCAGUUCCUGGCCGGGCCUCGACUCCCGAAGACCGAGCCGAGGGAGAAGCACUGUGGAUGUACAGCCGUCUCGGGUCUGAAGGCUUCUGCUCUGCCUGGACUUCCCUCCCACAGGUGCCCUAACCCUGGGGCUGAAGCUUGUGGAGAAGCUGCUUGAUGCGCACACUUCUGUGCUCUGAUGGUCGCUGCAUCAUGGGCAAUAUUCAGUCUCCCUCAAGUAGCUUCAGAGACCGUGACCUGGUCAAGCAAGAACAUCAAACAUAGGUUAAAAAUGAGCAGUGGCAUCAAGCAACAGAUGAGACUCUGAGCUCACAUGAAUUUGAUGCCGGACAACAUUAGGAGAAUACUUUGGGAGGCUUGAUCCUGACACAGCGAAGAUGGCUUGAAGUCACUGUUGGUGAGUGAGGUACAGUGAAGUUUCCUUCCCAGAGCUGGAAACACCGGAAGUGUCGCCAUGACUAAAUAUCCUGAGGAAUAACAGUUCCUGCACUCUGUGGGCUCCUGAGUCUGGCACUGCUUUCUUUCUGCUUCCUGAGAUCAAAGAUGAAGAGCACAAUAGGAAAAAGAAGGAGAUGAAGGCAGAGGGGAGCAAGAUGCAGGGUGUGGAUGAAAUUCAAGAGGGAGAAAUGUCUUUCUUCUCAAAUUCCUGAUUCAACUUUUACGUGACGCCUGAUGGCUCAGCUGGGACCACGACAGAAGGGCUGCAGGAGGACCAGGAGUAGGAGCCAGGCCAGAGGAGCUCAUUCCCAAUUAUGUUAAUGGCAAGAUGAUUUCAAAUAACAGCACGGAGGAGCUCAGCAACCAUAUGCUGAAUAGCAACACCUUAUUAGGCUGCAUACGGACGAGGGAUGAAAAGGGACGAAGUGUGUUGUAUUAAGUUUUAUGUUAAAUAUAAGGAGGGGAAGGGGUGGAAGGGAAGGGAGGAGAGUGGGGAAAAUAGAUGAAGCAAUAUAUCUCAUGCCCAGGUACAAAUUCCCUAAGAUGAAUGCUGUCAUCAUGUAGAUCUAAAUUGUACCAAUAAAUGUGUUGCUUGAAAACGCAGAGUUUUAACAUUUGAGCUCAUAUCUACCUAACUUGAUCAUUAACAUUGUCAUAUUUGUUUCAUUUUUUUAUUAUACACUUAAUUAAAAUUGACUGCUUCUUCAUUAAAAAAGGUGUAAGGGAACCAGGCCAUGGAUACUUAUUGAGGAUCUACUCUUAAGUGAAAUAAAUAAGUCACACAAGUGUAAAUACCGAAUAGUUUCUCUG